rnacentral:misc_RNA from 1 species
UAUGAAAUAGUUCAAACAUACAUCAGAUUACAAACACACCAUGGAUUCUUUUGUAAUUCCAGAAUAAGAAAUGAAGAAAUGUUAAGAAGCUAUCUCCUGUUCAUAGUGGCAUUGUGCAUUUCUUUUGAGAAUGUCCUAACAAAUGACAGCGACCACAUUGAACAACUCUCUUCGGACGCUUAAAGUUUUCUACACGAAGAACCUUCUUUUUUGGUCUUCCAGGAGGCCGCCGAGUUUUGGGUGGGCGUAUUGUGAUAUCAACCUUGGCACCUCCACCUUCAGUUCCCUCACCUGGUUCCCUCCAUAGGCUUUUAUCUGGAAUAUGGUUUAUCAUCUGUGAGUAAGUCUCUCGAUAACUUGCAACUGUGAAACAGGGUUCUGCAAAUAGAUGGGCAUUUUGUCCACAAGAAAUAAGUGCAGCAGCAGCAUGUGCACAAGGUAAACCAUAGAGCUGCCAACGGCGACACGAGCACACACGACUUCUUAUAUCCACAAUAUUUGUCCGCUCAGUUGACACAAUCUCAAACUCAACUUCGUUUGCACGUAGGACUUGAUAGCAACGGGCAUCUGCAAUUGCCUCCAGAAUCCGCUUCUCAGCAGAUGGAACAAGAAUUGAGGUCCACCUCAUACCAAUAUCCCGACGAUCAUUAAACCAAGAUGCCAACUGAUUACGCAUAUGCUCCAUCAUUUGCACAAUUGGAAGCUCAUGACACUCGAGAGCCCAAUUAUACAACAACUCAGUGAUCCCCAAUGUAAAAUGGCCAUAUCGCAUGCCCUCAAAAUAUGCCACUGCCCAAAGUUGAGGAGGAAAGUGUUGAAACCAGGUCAUAACAUCUUGUGAAAUCUCUACCAUCUCAGAGAUUUUGCUUUCAAAUUCAGCUGUUGUAAGGGCAUAAACAGCAUUCCAAAAUAUAUUCACUAACUUUGUAUUCUUAAAUGUAUCACGGAAGUUUUCACUAACAAAAC